AACGCGAAGAACCUUACCAGCCCUUGACAUGGCAGGACGGCUCAGAGAUGGAUCUCCUGGGGACCUGCACACAGGUGCUGCAUGGAAGAGCGUGGUGAGAUGGUGGGUUAAGCCGCAACGAGCGCAACCCGCCCUUAGUUGCCAAUUGAGUUGGGCACUAGGAGGGACUGCCGGUGUUAAGCCGAGAGGAAGGUGGGGAUGACGAAGCAUGGCCAUUUACGAGGCUGGGCUACACACGAUGCUACAAUGGAGGUGACAGGGGAUGCCAGGCAGCGAUGCCGACGCCGACCCAAAAGCCGAUUGGAGCACUGCAACGGGUGCGUGAAGGUGGAAGCUAGUGAGCGGAAGCACGCCGCGGUGAAUACGUCCGGGUUGUACACACCG
rnacentral:rRNA from 1 species